UGUUUUAACUAAAAAAGUUUAUAUCAAAAAGUUAAAUACAAAGCAAAAGAAAGUGAAAUCAGUGUCUAUUGAUAAAAUCAUGAUACGAAAAUUUGUAAGUGUAAGUGAGUAAGCUUCAAUAGCAUACAUAAUUGGCGAUUUUACUAUUGAUAACAAGCAUAUCUUCCACAAAAAUCGCUGCAUCUUUUCAAGUCCAUAAAGUUGUAGGCGUUGCGCGCACUUACGUAAUCCUUAUCGACAUGCAGUUCCAUAUCAUCCGUCGUCUGCUCGAGUGUACUGUGCGUGAUGCCGUAGUAGAAGUACAUGAUGAAGCCCAAUGUCAUCCAGAUAGUGAAUCUAACUAAUAUAACGAUUGCUCAAUAGCAGCAUAGUGGACUUCUGCAUAUCGAAAUUAACCUUUAAAUCACAAGCUAACACAGAAUAG